rnacentral:tRNA from 1 species
AGAAUUUUAAGUUAAUAUUAAACUUUAAGCUUUCAAAGUUUAGAAUACAUUUUUUUUGUAAAUUCUG